rnacentral:lncRNA from 1 species
GGCAGUGCGGGGGUGAGCACCGGGGCGCAAGUGAGUCUCAGAGUUUCGCUCCGUGCUCCUCCCCCCCUUGCUAUAUGUCAGCGUCAUCCGGAGCCUGCCAGCCCGGUCACCCACUUGCUUAUUAGAAUACAUUAGCUGACAAUGUGGAUUUAAAUAACUCGGGCAGGUGACAGCCUGAAGCGCACCCAGCGUAGCUGGGCUCUCCUGCACUGGCCCAGAUGCUCUGUGGCUGCGUGUGCCCUACAGCAGCACGGUUCAGUAGGCAGAGGCCACUUCUACUACCCGGCUAAGGAAAAGAUGGGCAGAGCCUGCUCUGGAUGACGCUGUGUUCCAGCCGGCGGAGAGGGUCCCCCAUUUCCUCGGAACUAAUCCUCCAGGAAAUUAACAGACAGUUUGCUGUGGACAACUAGAGCCCUCCCCUUCCUUAGCCCUGAGCGAGGUAAACAAUUCUGCUCUGCCUUCCGGAAGUUUCAAAUUAGCUCUUCAACCAGCGUUUUCACGCAGCUUCCAGUCCUGCCACAGUCUUGAAGAAGAGAUCAGCUUUCGCGUCUUCAUUCUUGCCAAGAUUAGCUGCCCUUCGAAUCUCCCGUGUGUCAUUAAUCCCAGCACGAACAAGCACUUGGGAACUGCGGGCUGCAGAUGGUCUGCUUAUCCUACGGAACCCUCCUCUUUUGAGGCUUAACCCCUUUAGUCUUUGUUGCUUCUGUAGCUUUCUGAUGCCAUUAAAGAGAUGAUUUUUAUA